CUUUAGCGAGGCUGCGAAAGCGGAGGGCCAGGCGCUGAAUAAGUUGGCAGUGCCACCGCCUUCGCAGCCUCGCC
rnacentral:misc_RNA from 1 species